UAUGUUCUUGAAACUUAAAAAAUUUGGCGGUUUUUUAGUCUAUCCAGAGGAACCUGUUUUGUAAUCGAUAAUCCACGAUGGACCUUACUUAAAUUUGUAAUCAGUUUAUAUACCGUCGUUAUCAGAAUAUUUUAUAAGAAUAAUAAUAUUCAAUAAUUUUUAUUAAAAUUUAUAUCAGAUCAAGGUGUAGCUUAUGUUUAAGUAAUAAUGGGUUACAAUAAAUUUAUUUAAACGAAUAAAAUUAUGAAAAAAUUUUUGAAGGUGGAUUUGGUUGUAAAGUUAUAAAGAUUAAUAAUUUGAUUUUAGCUCUAAAAUAUGUACACAUCGCCCGUCGCUCUUAUUAUUAAGGUAAGAUAAGUCGUAACAUAGUAGAUGUACUGGAAAGUGUAUCUAGAAUGA
rnacentral:rRNA from 1 species